UUCUCUCAUGCCUUUCAGCUGUGAGCAUGUUGGAACACCCUGUCUGUGCUCCACUUUUUAGCAGGAUGGGAAGGAAGCUAAAGGUGACCAGACUCCUGGACACAGCUCCUCGCAUGAAUGGCACAAAUCAGAGCCAACAGACAAAAUAACGAAGGUGGAAGAGGACUGUGGUGGGAGAUAAAACCUCAGACCACCAUACUCCCAGCGCUCCACCCGGGGCCUAGCCGUAGAUGUCUGCAUCCAGAUUCCUCAGU